rnacentral:rRNA from 1 species
GGCUGCCCUUGAGUUUGGCCAUCGGACGGUCAACGCCGUGUCCAGGUUGCAGACCUUGGGUCGCACUCACUGUCACGGCCAAGCUGGCGGCCACGCCCGCCUCCAUCUUGGCAAGUGGCGCAAGAACGGUGCAAACGCCCUGACCGUCG